rnacentral:rRNA from 1 species
AUACGGAGGGGGUUAGCGUUGUUCGGAAUUACUGGGCGUAAAGCGCACGUAGGCGGACUGGAAAGUUGGGGGUGAAAUCCCGGGGCUCAACCCCGGAACUGCCUCCAAAACUUCCAAUCUAGAGAUCGAGAGAGGUGAGUGGAAUUCCAAGUGUAGAGGUGAAAUUCGUAGAUAUUUGGAGGAACACCAGUGGCGAAGGCGGCUCACUGGAUCGAUACUGACGCUGAGGUGCGAAAGCGUGGGGAGCAAACAGGAUUAGAAACCCUAGUAGUCC